GUCCAAUCACACACUAAACCACCAUAAUAUGGACAGACUGGACCGGUCAACCAGGUCUAGGUAGGUGGAGGGAAGGGCCAGACUACUGGACCGGUCAACCAGGUCUUGGUAGGUGGAGGGAAGGGCCAGACUACUGGACCAGUACAACCAGGUCUAGGUAGGUGGAGGGAAGGGCCAGACUACUGGACCGGUUCAACCAGGUCUUGGUAGGUGGAGGGAGGGACCAGACUACUGGACCGGUACAACCAGGUCUUGGUAGGUGGAGGGAGGGACCAGACUACUGGACCGGUACAACCAGGUCUUGGUAGGUGGAGGGAG